UACGUAGGGUGCGAGCGUUAAUCGGAAUUACUGGGCGUAAAGCGUGCGCAGGCGGUUUUGUAAGACAGGCGUGAAAUCCCCGAGCUCAACUUGGGAAUUGCGCUUGUGACUGCAAGGCUAGAGUGUGUCAGAGGGGGGGUAGAAUUCCACGUGUAGCAGUGAAAUGCGUAGAGAUGUGGAGGAAUACCGAUGGCGAAGGCAGCCCCCUGGGACAUGACUGACGCUCAUGCACGAAAGCGUGGGGGAGCAAACAGG
rnacentral:rRNA from 1 species